UACGGAGGGUGCAAGCGUUAUCCGGAUUCACUGGGUUUAAAGGGUGCGUAGGUGGUUUGGUAAGUCCGUGGUGAAAUCCCCAAGCUUAACUUGGGAACUGCCGUGGAUACUAUCAAUCUUGAAUAUCGUUGAGGUAAGCGGAAUAUGUCAUGUAGCGGUGAAAUGCUUAGAUAUGACAUAGAACACCGAUAGCGGAGGCAGCUUACUAAGCGAUCAUUGACACUGAGGCACGAAAGCGUGGGGAGCGAACAGG
rnacentral:rRNA from 1 species